rnacentral:rRNA from 1 species
ACUCCUGCGGGAGGCAGCAGUGGGGAAUAUUGGACAAUGGGCGCAAGCCUGAUCCAGCCAUGCCGCGUGAGUGAUGAAGGCCCUAGGGUUGUAAAGCUCUUUCACCGGUGAAGAUAAUGACGGUAACCGGAGAAGAAGCCCCGGCUAACUUCGUGCCAGCAGCCGCGGUAAUACGAAGGGGGCUAGCGUUGUUCGGAUUUACUGGGCGUAAAGCGCACGUAGGCGGACUAUUAAGUCAGGGGUGAAAUCCCGGGGCUCAACCCCGGAACUGCCUUUGAUACUGGUAGUCUUGAGUUCGAGAGAGGUGAGUGGAAUUCCGAGUGUAGAGGUGAAAUUCGUAGAUAUUCGGAGGAACACCAGUGGCGAAGGCGGCUCACUGGCUCGAUACUGACGCUGAGGUGCGAAAGCGUGGGGAGCAAACAGGAUUAGAUACCCGUGUAGUCCCAUGAU